ACUCCUGCGGGAGGCAGCAGUGGGGAAUUUUGGACAAUGGGCGAAAGCCUGAUCCAGCAAUGCCGCGUGCAGGAUGAAGGCCUUCGGGUUGUAAACUGCUUUCGUACGGAACGAAAAAGCUCCUUCUAAUACAGGGGGCCCAUGACGGUACCGUAAGAAUAAGCACCGGCUAACUACGUGCCAGCAGCCGCGGUAAUACGUAGGGUGCGAGCGUUAAUCGGAAUUACUGGGCGUAAAGCGUGCGCAGGCGGUUAUGUAAGACAGAUGUGAAAUCCCCGGGCUCAACCUGGGAACUGCAUUUGUGACUGCAUGGCUAGAGUACGGUAGAGGGGGAUGGAAUUCCGCGUGUAGCAGUGAAAUGCGUAGAUAUGCGGAGGAACACCGAUGGCGAAGGCAAUCCCCUGGACCUGUACUGACGCUCAUGCACGAAAGCGUGGGGAGCAAACAGGAUUAGAAACCCCUGUAGUCCCA
rnacentral:rRNA from 1 species